rnacentral:rRNA from 1 species
UGGGGAAUUUUGGACAAUGGGCGAAAGCCUGAUCCAGCCAUGCCGCGUGCAGGAUGAAGGCCUUCGGGUUGUAAACUGCUUUUGUACGGAACGAAACGGUCUUUUCUAAUACAGAAGGCUAAUGACGGUACCGUAAGAAUAAGCACCGGCUAACUACGUGCCAGCAGCCGCGGUAAUACGUAGGGUGCAAGCGUUAAUCGGAAUUACUGGGCGUAAAGCGUGCGCAGGCGGUUCUAUAAGACAGAUGUGAAAUCCCCGGGCUCAACCUGGGAAUGGCAUUUGUGACUGUAGAGCUAGAGUACGGUAGAGGGGGAUGGAAUUCCGCGUGUAGCAGUGAAAUGCGUAGAUAUGCGGAGGAACACCGAUGGCGAAGGCAAUCCCCUGGACCUGUACUGACGCCCAUGCACGAAAGCGUGGGGAGCAAACAGGAUUAGAUACCCAAGUAGUCCCUGAGCGGGCUGGCAAGGCGCAU